rnacentral:rRNA from 1 species
UACGGGGGGGGGCAAGCGUUGUUCGGAAUUACUGGGCGUAAAGGGCUCGUAGGCGGCCAACUAAGUCAGACGUGAAAUCCCUCGGCUUAACCGGGGAACUGCGUCUGAUACUGGAUGGCUUGAGUGUGGGAGAGGGAUGCGGAAUUCCAGGUGUAGCGGGUGAAAUGCGCAGAUAUCGGGAGGAACACCGGUGGCGAAGGCGGUUCUCUGGGCCUUACCUGACGCUGAGGAGCGAAAGCGUGGGGAGCGAACAGG